rnacentral:rRNA from 2 species
AGCAUGGUCUUAGCUUGCUAAGGCCGAUGGCGACCGGCGCACGGGUGAGUAACACGUAUCCAACCUGCCGUCUACUCUUGGACAGCCUUCUGAAAGGAAGAUUAAUACAAGAUGGCAUCAUGAGUCCGCAUGUUCACAUGAUUAAAGGUAUUCCGGUAGACGAUGGGGAUGCGUUCCAUUAGAUAGUAGGCGGGGUAACGGCCCACCUAGUCUUCGAUGGAUAGGGGUUCUGAGAGGAAGGUCCCCCACAUUGGAACUGAGACACGGUCCAAACUCCUACGGGAGGCAGCAGUGAGGAAUAUUGGUCAAUGGGCGAGAGCCUGAACCAGCCAAGUAGCGUGAAGGAUGACUGCCCUAUGGGUUGUAAACUUCUUUUAUAAAGGAAUAAAGUCGGGUAUGGAUACCCGUUUGCAUGUACUUUAUGAAUAAGGAUCGGCUAACUCCGUGCCAGCAGCCGCGGUAAUACGGAGGAUCCGAGCGUUAUCCGGAUUUAUUGGGUUUAAAGGGAGCGUAGAUGGAUGUUUAAGUCAGUUGUGAAAGUUUGCGGCUCAACCGUAAAAUUGCAGUUGAUACUGGAUAUCUUGAGUGCAGUUGAGGCAGGCGGAAUUCGUGGUGUAGCGGUGAAAUGCUUAGAUAUCACGAAGAACUCCGAUUGCGAAGGCAGCCUGCUAAGCUGCAACUGACAUUGAGGCUCGAAAGUGUGGGUAUCAAACAGGAUUAGAUACCCUGGUAGUCCACACGGUAAACGAUGAAUACUCGCUGUUUGCG